rnacentral:tRNA from 1 species
UCCCUGGUGGCUCAUCAGUAAAGAAUCGGCCUGCAAUGCAGGAGACCUAGGUUCAAACCCUGGUUUGGGAA